rnacentral:rRNA from 1 species
ACAAUGCGGAACAAUGUUUUGCAAUUGGAUUGAGAACAACGUACAAACCUUAUCGAUAAACAAUUGGAGGGCAAGUCUGGUGCCAGCAGCCGCGGUAAUUCCAGCUCCAAUAGCGUAUAUUAACGUUGUUGCAGUUAAAAAGCUCGUAGUUGAAAUGAAGGGUAGUUGUGUAAUGAAUACAUUCGUGUAUUUUGUUAUUCAAGUACCCUCCUUCUAAAUUCGAUAUAUGAGUAUUAAUUUACUUGUAUAUGGUUUUAGACCUUUACUGUGAGAAAAUUAGAGUGUUCAAAGCAGGCAUUUGCUUGAAUAUAUUAGCAUGGAAUAAUCAUGUAUGAUUUUCAUGAUGUAUUUGAUUGGUUUGGUUCAUGAGAAUAAGAUUAAAAGGGACAGUUGGGGGUAUUCAUAUUCAAUAGUCAGAGGUGAAAUUCUCGGAUUUAUGGAAGAUGAAC